CCUACGGGAGGCAGCAGUGAGGAAUAUUGGUCAAUGGCCGGGAGGCUGAACCAGCCAAGUCGCGUGAGGGAAGACGGCCCUACGGGUUGUAAACCUCUUUUGUCAGGGAGCAAGGUGCAGGUCGGGACCUGCUGUGCGUGUAUCUGAAGAAAAAGCAUCGGCUAACUCCGUGCCAGCAGCCGCGGUAAUACGGAGGAUGCGAGCGUUAUCCGGAUUUAUUGGGUUUAAAGGGUGCGCAGGCGGUGGCACAAGUCAGCGGUAAAAUCGCGGGGCUCAACCCCGCUCCGCCGUUGAAACUGGGAGCCUUGAGUGGGCGAAGGGUAGGCGGAAUGCGUGGUGUAGCGGUGAAAUGCAUAGAUAUCGCGCAGAACUCCGAUCGCGAAGGCAGCCUACCGGCGCGAAACUGACGCUGAUGCACGAAAGCGUGGGUAUCGAACAGGAUUAGAUACCCGUGUAGUC
rnacentral:rRNA from 1 species